UGCCAGACUCCUACGGGAGGCAGCAGUGAGGAAUAUUGGUCAAUGGGCGCGAGCCUGAACCAGCCAAGUCGCGUGAGGGAGGACGGCCCUACGGGUUGUAAACCUCUUUUGCCGGGGAGCAACGGGCGUCACGUGUGGCGUCACUGAGAGUACCCGGAGAAAAAGCAUCGGCUAACUCCGUGCCAGCAGCCGCGGUAAUACGGAGGAUGCGAGCGUUAUCCGGAUUUAUUGGGUUUAAAGGGUGCGUAGGCGGUAUUUUAAGUUAGUGGUAAAACGUCGGGGCUUCACCUUGAUUGGCCAUUAAAACUGGAGUACUAGAGUACAGACGAGGUAGGCGGAAUAAGUUAAGUAGCGGUGAAAUGCUUAGAUAUAACGUAGAACCCCGAUAGCGAAGGCAGCUUACCAGACUGUUACUGACGCUGAAGCACGAGAGCGUGGGUAGCGAACAGGAUUAGAUACCCGCGUAUU
rnacentral:rRNA from 1 species